UCUUGGACAAUGUCGCGGUGGAUCUGAUCCCCAAACCCGCCGUGAUACUCUGGUCGAAUGGAGCCCAGAUUAAAUUAUGAUUUUAUACACAUAUUAAAUAUGCACAUGCAUGCACACAUACUAACAUAUGCACACAUACAUACGAACAGUGUUGCUCAAGCAAGCUGGUCUUAUACUACUAAAUCUGGUCUUCAUGAAAAUAAUUAAUUUUUUGAAUGAAUAGACUUUGAAUGAGUUUUCAAUUCUGUAUUUUUGCCCAAAUCCUAUUUGUACACAGAUAGUUCUUAUUCCAUAUUUUUGUCUUCAGGCGACAUAAAAGACAGAAAGAGUGUGUCAGAUGCUGAGAGCAUUAAAGAAAGAGUUGAUGUUAAAAACAUGACGGCUGCAACAGCAGACAUGAAGGAGAGAGGUUACGGCAGCAGGGGCAAUAGAAUAGGGAUCUAUUUAUUACACUGAUGGAAUGUGACUAUGAAUGUACACACACGCACACACACGUGCAUACACAUUCCUUAUGUUUUGCCAACACAGUUUGUGCUUUUUGUAAGUUUAAAAUGAUACUUGGCAAAUUUGUUAACUUUAAACAAUGGUAAAUAUUUUGAUGCAGUUUCAUACAUGAAAUAAGAUGCACUGACUGCUUAGAAGGUUAUUUAUUAUUGCAUAUUAGUAAGUAAUACUGUGUCAUAUAUUUCAGCUCCCAAGGACUGCUGCCAAUCAAGGUGGAGGAGGAUGUUACAUCUUUUCACAUCUUGCUUCAGAUGCAGGCCAAGAACAUAAAUGGGUCAUCAGUGCACAUCUAUUAUUAGCUCUGUGGCAGCCAGUUUGAACACUUCAGAAUAUCAUUUUCUUAAAAUACCUUUCUUUGAUUGCUACAAUAAAAU